CCAACAGUUGAAAGAACGAGCGAGAAAAGCAACAUAAAUUUAAAGAUGGACCAAAAGUGCAGACACACAAUAUAAAAGAGCAAAGUACUAUUUACUCAAACCCAAAAUAAAGGACUAUUUUAAGCCUUUUCUCUCAAAAGUAGCGUUUUCCUUGCCUUGAAAAAUUCCAGCUAAAUUACCAUACCAUAAAUAUAAUUUACAUUUACUUACACUUUGUCAACCAAGCAAAACCAGAGCUCGAAGAAGCGAAAAUGGAGGCGGCUACUUUCACUUCUACUACAGCUUCAUCUUCAACGACGUCGUUUUCUUCCUUCUCUUCAACUUCUCAAUCUCUUCGCUUUCUGCGUUACAAGCCAAAUGCAAAACCUCUAAAUUACAAAUCUUCUAGAACCUUCUCUGUCCGUGCCUCCGCCGAUGAUUCUGUGGUAACUCUACUUGAUUAUGGUGCUGGCAAUGUGAGAAGUCUCAGGAAUGCUAUUAAGUAUCUCGGUUUCGAUAUCAUUGAUGUCCAUACACCCGAGGACAUUUUGAAAGCAAAACAACUCAUUUUUCCUGGAGUUGGUGCUUUUGCUCCUGCCAUGGAUGUGCUAAACAACAAGGGAAUGGCUGAAGCACUUUGUACUUACAUUGAGCAAGAUCGCCCAUUCCUCGGCAUCUGUCUUGGACUGCAGCUACUUUUUGAGUCAAGUGAAGAAAAUGGACCAGUAAAGGGUCUUGGUUUGAUUCCCGGAGUAGUUGGACGUUUUGACUCUUCUAAAGGCAUCAGAGUACCUCAUAUUGGCUGGAAUGCACUUGAAAUAGCAAAAGAUAUCCAAAUUUUGGAUGACAUUGGAAAGUCCCAUGUCUAUUUCGUACAUUCUUAUCGGGCAAUGCCGUCAGAUCAAAAUAGAGAGUGGAUCUCAUCGACCUGCAACUAUGGUGACAAUUUCAUAGCAUCCAUUCAGAGAGGAAAUGUCCACGCAGUUCAGUUUCAUCCUGAGAAGAGUGGUGAUGUUGGCCUUUCUGUAUUGAGGAGGUUCUUGAAUCCAAAAUCUGGGAAAACACAGAAGCUAGUCCAAGGGAAUGCCUCUAAACUUGCAAAACGGGUUAUUGCAUGUCUUGAUGUGAGGACAAAUGAUAAAGGUGAUCUGGUUGUAACCAAAGGAGACCAAUAUGAUGUUAGAGAACAUACAAAAGAAAAUGAGGUGAGAAACCUUGGCAAGCCAGUGGAUCUUGCUGGACAGUAUUACAAGGAUGGGGCAGAUGAGGUUAGCUUUUUAAAUAUUACUGCUUUCCGAGACUUCCCCUUGGGCGAUCUGCCAAUGUUGCAGGUAUUGAGAUAUGCAUCAGAGAAUGUUUUUGUGCCAUUAACCGUUGGAGGUGGUAUUAGAGACUUCAAAGACGGCAAUGGCAGAUACUACUCUAGUUUAGAAGUUGCUUCAGAAUAUUUUCGUUCUGGAGCAGACAAAAUUUCUAUCGGAAGUGAUGCCGUUUAUGCUGCGGAAGAAUACUUAAAAUCUGGAGUGAAAACUGGAAAGAGCAGUCUAGAGCAGAUCUCCCGAGUUUAUGGCAAUCAGGCAGUAGUUGUAAGCAUUGAUCCUCGAAGGGUGUACGUAAAGGACCCCAAGGCUGUGGAAUUCAAGACUGUGAAAGUGAGAAACCCAGGUCCAAAUGGAGAAGAAUAUGCAUGGUACCAGUGCACGGUGAGUGGUGGGAGAGAAGGCCGUCCUAUUGGAGCUUAUGAGCUUGCGAAAGCUGUUGAAGAAUUGGGAGCUGGGGAGAUACUGCUAAACUGCAUUGAUUGUGAUGGUCAAGGGAAGGGAUUUGAUAUAGACCUAAUUAAGUUGAUUUCAGAUGCUGUAAGCAUUCCUGUGAUUGCAAGCAGUGGAGCUGGAGCUGUUGAACACUUCACAGAGGUCUUCAGAGAAACAAAUGCAUCUGCUGCCCUUGCUGCUGGAAUUUUCCAUAGAAAGGAGGUGAGUUGACUAUAUUAAACAGAUGCCUUCUUCGUGUGCCUUUAAGUUGAUCAAUAUUCAGAGUAUUGGUGAGCUCGAUAACAAAAGAGAUUGACUCACAAAAGCUAGAUGAAAAAGCACGUGAAUCCUUGGAUAAUCAAUGAACGGUGGAUGCCGAUGUAUCUGCUGACAGUAUGCACCUAUUCGGAGAAAGCAGAUACCGACUGUUUGGGUUUAAUGAGCAAAGCCUCACCUAUAAGAAGUGUAUGUUCAAGUGAUAUACAUACCAGCCUGUAUGGUACAAGGGGGUGCAGUAUGGAGUGUUUAAAACUUAAAAACAUUGUUGAACUAUACUGUUCAAAACUAAGUCCUGUAACAUACAACAAUUCCGGAAUAAAGCAUUCUUAAGUUACCAGUUGUAAC